rnacentral:rRNA from 1 species
GAUGGACGUUGGCGGCGUGCCUAAUACAUGCAAGUCGAGCGAACGGACGAGAAGCUUGCUUCUCUGAUGUUAGCGGCGGACGGGUGAGUAACACGUGGAUAACCUACCUAUAAGACUGGGAUAACUUCGGGAAACCGGAGCUAAUACCGGAUAAUAUUUUGAACCGCAUGGUUCAAAAGUGAAAGACGGUCUUGCUGUCACUUAUAGAUGGAUCCGCGCUGCAUUAGCUAGUUGGUAAGGUAACGGCUUACCAAGGCAACGAUGCAUAGCCGACCUGAGAGGGUGAUCGGCCACACUGGAACUGAGACACGGUCCAGACUCCUACGGGAGGCAGCAGUAGGGAAUCUUCCGCAAUGGGCGAAAGCCUGACGGAGCAACGCCGCGUGAGUGAUGAAGGUCUUCGGAUCGUAAAACUCUGUUAUUAGGGAAGAACAUAUGUGUAAGUAACUGUGCACAUCUUGACGGUACCUAAUCAGAAAGCCACGGCUAACUACGUG